UCCUACGGGACGCAGCAGUGAGGAAUAUUGGUCAAUGGUCGGGAGACUGAACCAGCCAAGCCGCGUGAGGGAUGAAGGUACAGAGUAUCGUAAACCUCUUUUGUCAGGGAACAAAGGCGGGGACGCGUCCCCGGAUGAGUGUACCUGAAGAAAAAGCAUCGGCUAACUCCGUGCCAGCAGCCGCGGUAAUACGGAGGAUGCGAGCGUUAUCCGGAUUUAUUGGGUUUAAAGGGUGCGCAGGCGAUCUGUUAAGUCAGCGGUCAAAGCCCGGGGCUCAACCCCGGCCCGCCGUUGAAACUGGCAGG
rnacentral:rRNA from 1 species